AGAGUUUGAUCCUGGCUCAGGACGAACGCUGGCGGCGUGCCUAAUACAUGCAAGUCGUACGCUUCUUUUUCCACCGGAGCUUGCUCCACCGGAAAAAGAAGAGUGGCGAACGGGUGAGUAACACGUGGGUAACCUGCCCAUCAGAAGGGGAUAACACUUGGAAACAGGUGCUAAUACCGUAUAAAAAUCGAAACCGCAUGGUUUUGAUUUGAAAGGCGCUUUCGGGUGUCGCUGAUGGAUGGACCCGCGGUGCAUUAGCUAGUUGGUGAGGUAACGGCUCACCAAGGCCACGAUGCAUAGCCGACCUGAGAGGGUGAUCGGCCACAUUGGGACUGAGACACGGCCCAAACUCCUACGGGAGGCAGCAGUAGGGAAUCUUCGGCAAUGGACGAAAGUCUGACCGAGCAACGCCGCGUGAGUGAAGAAGGUUUUCGGAUCGUAAAACUCUGUUGUUAGAGAAGAACAAGGAUGAGAGUAACUGUUCAUCCCUUGACGGUAUCUAACCAGAAAGCCACGGCUAACUACGUGCCAGCAGCCGCGGUAAUACGUAGGUGGCAAGCGUUGUCCGGAUUUAUUGGGCGUAAAGCGAGCGCAGGCGGUUUCUUAAGUCUGAUGUGAAAGCCCCCGGCUCAACCGGGGAGGGUCAUUGGAAACUGGGAGACUUGAGUGCAGAAGAGGAGAGUGGAAUUCCAUGUGUAGCGGUGAAAUGCGUAGAUAUAUGGAGGAACACCAGUGGCGAAGGCGGCUCUCUGGUCUGUAACUGACGCUGAGGCUCGAAAGCGUGGGGAGCAAACAGGAUUAGAUACCCUGGUAGUCCACGCCGUAAACGAUGAGUGCUAAGUGUUGGAGGGUUUCCGCCCUUCAGUGCUGCAGCUAACGCAUUAAGCACUCCGCCUGGGGAGUACGACCGCAAGGUUGAAACUCAAAGGAAUUGACGGGGGCCCGCACAAGCGGUGGAGCAUGUGGUUUAAUUCGAAGCAACGCGAAGAACCUUACCAGGUCUUGACAUCCUUUGACCACUCUAGAGAUAGAGCUUCCCCUUCGGGGGCAAAGUGACAGGUGGUGCAUGGUUGUCGUCAGCUCGUGUCGUGAGAUGUUGGGUUAAGUCCCGCAACGAGCGCAACCCUUAUUGUUAGUUGCCAUCAUUUAGUUGGGCACUCUAGCAAGACUGCCGGUGACAAACCGGAGGAAGGUGGGGAUGACGUCAAAUCAUCAUGCCCCUUAUGACCUGGGCUACACACGUGCUACAAUGGGAAGUACAACGAGUCGCGAAGUCGCGAGGCUAAGCUAAUCUCUUAAAGCUUCUCUCAGUUCGGAUUGUAGGCUGCAACUCGCCUACAUGAAGCCGGAAUCGCUAGUAAUCGCGGAUCAGCACGCCGCGGUGAAUACGUUCCCGGGCCUUGUACACACCGCCCGUCACACCACGAGAGUUUGUAACACCCGAAGUCGGUGAGGUAACCUUUUGGAGCCAGCCGCCUAAGGUGGGAUAGAUGAUUGGGGUGAAGUCGUAACAAGGUAGCCGUAUCGGAAGGUGCGGCUGGAUCACCU
rnacentral:rRNA from 1 species